UGACUGGAGUGGAAGAUGUUAGUGGCUUGAACCAACAUGAAACAACAAGUGAACUUAGCUGAGAAUGAUGGUAGUUUAAAAAUAAUGCAGCAUUAGCUAGGAUUGUUCUUAGGUCACAAAAACAAUCUUACAAAUAGAGUUUCUGCUGUUGUCACUGGUUUUAGAGAGUACCUUCGUGAAUGAAGAUAAAAAGUCAUUUAUGUUAUUUUUUAAAAGCCAAGAUAUAAUAUUGUUAAUCCUCAUACCAUUUACUAAAAAACUUUAUAAAUAUUGUUACGAUGUUAUAAUUCAAAUUGUUGUAAUUAGUAAUUUUGAUCAUUUCAUUAUUAUACUGUAAAAAAUAUUUUUUAUUUAUAACAUUUAUUUCACAUAUAUUAAAAACAUGAGGAAUAAAUAUUACACUGAGGAAAAUUUUAAGCAAAAUAUAGAAUUUUUAAAUGUUAUUAGAAUAUCAAUAUGUAAUA
rnacentral:lncRNA from 1 species